CUCUCUUAAGGUGGUUACCUUCUCGUGGUAAGAGUCGCAACUACCUCAAGUCACAGUGUGGGCUCGGCGGAAACUAAAAACCAC
rnacentral:ribozyme from 1 species